GUGAACGCUGGCGGCGUGCCUAACACAUGCAAGUCGAACGAUGAUAGGAAGCUUGCUUUCUUGAUUAGUGGCGCACGGGUGAGUAAUGCAUAGAUAAUGUGCCCCUUAGUUCGGGAUAGCCACUGGAAACGGUGAUUAAUACCGGAUACUCCUUCUUACUAUAAGGUAAGUCGGGAAAGUUUUUCGCUAAGAGAUCAGUCUAUGUCCUAUCAGCUAGUUGGUGAGGUAAUGGCUCACCAAGGCUAUGACGGGUAUCUUGUUUGAGAGGAUGAUCUGACACACUGGGACUGAGACACGGUCCAGACUCCUACGGGAGGCAGCAGUGAGGAAUAUUGCACAAUGGAGGAAACUCUGAUGCAGCAACGCCGCGUGGAGGAUGACGCAUUUCGGUGUGUAAACUCCUUUUAAGAGGGAAGAUAAUGACGGUACCUCUUGAAUAAGCACCGGCUAACUCCGU
rnacentral:rRNA from 1 species